rnacentral:misc_RNA from 1 species
GAUGAAGAACGUAGUGAAAUGCGAUAAGUAAUGUGAAUUGCAGAAUUCAGUGAAUCAUCGAAUCUUUGAACGCACAUUGCGCCCCUUGGUAUUCCGAGGGGCAUGCCUGUUCGAGCGUCAUUAUAACCCCUCAAGCUCAGCUUGGUGUUGGGGCCUGCUGCACUGACAGCCCUUAAAAUCAGUGGCGGCGCCAUCUGGCUCUAAGCGUAGUAAUUCUUCUCGCUAUGGAGUCCUGGUGGAUGCUUGCCAUCAACCCCCAAUUUUUCUAUGGUUGACCUCGGAUCAGGUAGGGAUACCCGCUGAACUUAAGCAUAUCAAUAAGCGGAGGA